AAACGCGCCAAGGAUAAUUGAACAAAGUUUGUUCACGUCCCCUGCCCGUUUUCGGGUGGUGUUGGCGUGCACAUCUUUCGAAUAACUAAACGACUCUCGGCAACGGAUAUCUCGGCUCUUGCAUCGAUGAAGAACGUAGCGAAAUGCGAUACUUGGUGUGAAUUGCAGAAUCCCGUGAACCAUCGAGUCUUUGAACGCAAGUUGCGCCUGAAGCCAUUAGGUUGAAGGCACGUCUGCCUGGGCGUCACGCAUUGC
rnacentral:rRNA from 1 species